rnacentral:lncRNA from 1 species
UGGGAAUCUAGCUAGAUGUACCUCGUAUUGUCAAUUUAUGAAAUUCUUCAUUAUUGUUACGGUUGCAAUUAAAACAAUGUUUGACUAAUUGAAAUGCUAAAACAAUGAGCAUCUUGAAUAAGUAGGAGCAUCAUCUUUUUUUUGUCUGGUUUUGUAUCGAUUGUAGUAGUGUUUUCAACAUCACAUCACUGGUUACUACGUGUGCUUUAUACGAUUUAGAGUCUAUAUAGAAAUGAAGGUGGUUUUCAUACUUUUGUGAUCAGUCCUUUCUCAUGUAAGGAAUCACCUUUCUAGGAUCCUAGUCAUUACUUGAUCAAAAUCAGUCUUUGCAUCUUAGCCAUCUUCUUAAUUUGUGAAGUUCUUACUCAUUUAUAAGUUCUUACUCUCCUUUAUCAAGACUCAUCUCAUCGUCUUUGUUCUAAACAACGUCGUGAACCUCCCAC